GAAGCAGUGCAUGGUGGGGGCAUGGGUUAUGUGUGGGUAUUAGGUAAGCAGUGCAUUGUGGGGGCAUGGGUUAUGUGUGGGGAAGCAGUGCAUGGGUUAUGUGUGGGUAUUAGGGCAGUGCAUUGUGGGGGCAUGGGUUAUGUGUGGGUAUUAGGGAAACAGUUGAUUGUGGGGGCACGGGUUAUGUGUGGGUAUUAGGGAAGCAGUGCAUUGUGGGGGCAUAGGUUAUGUGUGGGUAUUAGAGGAAACAGUUGAUUGUUGGGGCCAGGGUUAUGUGUGGGUAUUAGGGAAGCAGUGCAUUGUGAGGGCAUGGGUUAUGUGUGGGUAUUAGGGAAGCAGUGCAUUGUGGGGGCACGGGUUAUGUAUGGGUAUUAGGGAAGCAGUGCAUUGUGGGGGCACGGGUUAUGUGUGGGUAUUAGGGAAGCAGUGCAUUGUGGGGGCAUGGGUUAUGUGUGGGUAUUAGAGAAGCAGUGCAUUGUGGGGGCACAGGUUAUGUAUGGGUAUUAGGGAAGCAGUGCAUUGUGGGGGCACGGGUUAUGUGUGGGUAUUAGAG